rnacentral:rRNA from 1 species
UGGGGAAUAUUGGACAAUGGGGGGAACCCUGAUCCAGCCAUGCCGCGUGUGUGAAGAAGGCCUUAUGGUUGUAAAGCACUUUAAGCGAGGAGGAGGGUACUGGUAUUAAUACUACCAGGUACUGGACGUUACUCGCAGAAUAAGCACCGGCUAACUCUGUGCCAGCAGCCGUGGUAAUACAGAGGGUGCGAGCGUUAAUCGGAUUUACUGGGCGUAAAGCGUGCGUAGGCGGCUAAUUGAGUCGGAUGUGAAAUCCCCGAGCUUAACUUGGGAAUUGCAUUCGAUACUGGGAAGCUAGAGUAUGGGAGAGGAUGGUAGAAUUCCAGGUGUAGCGGUGAAAUGCGUAGAGAUCUGGAGGAAUACCGAUGGCGAAGGCAGCCAUCUGGCCUAAUACUGACGCUGAGGUACGAAAGCAUGGGGAGCAAACAGG